UUCAGCAUAUCAAAGAACCUCAUAUAUUCAAUUUUUGCUAAAAUCAAACAAAGUUUAAUUUUGGACCCUUUGGACCUUAAUGUAGACCAAUUUGAAAACUGGACCCAAAAUUAAAAAUCUAAAUACACUGUUAGAUUCGGCAUAACAAAUAAAUAAAUGUGAUCAAAGAUUUUACAAAUCUAAUGCGCCAUACUGUGCAAUUAAAGACUUCUUGAAAUUUUUCAAUAUUUGAAAUUUGAAUAAAAAAUAAUUUUUGAAGAAUAAUUCUUUUUAAUUUCUGAAAUCUGAAAUGAGAAAAAAUUGACCCCCCACAAUUUCUUUUUAUCUCCCCCCCCCCCCUUUUUCCCCCAAAAAAUUCUUUCCCUCAAGAUAUGGUCAUAAUCUCAAUUCAAAUUUCCAAUGGAGUUGGCAACCAUAAUUACCCAUUUAAAUUUACCAUAGUGCUAACUUAAUCUAUUUUAUAAUAGAAUUAAAAAUAUAGUGUCAAAUCUUUCAUAUGGAUUUUUUUGUAAAAAAAAAAGAUGCAACAUUUGCAGAUAUUUUUACUGGUCUUCCUUUAUAAAUAUGCAUUUCUUUAAACAUAAUUUAUAAGCAGUGUAAGGGAAGUAACCAAAACGUUGUAUUUGGAUUACCUCCCUUACACUGUUUUAAAUUAUCUUUAUUGUUCAUUAACCAUUACUUUAUACAUAAUUUAAAAGCAGUGUAAGGGAGAUAAUUUCAAUGAUGUAUUUGAUUUAUCUCCCUUACACUGCUUUAAAUUAUGUUUUGUACUAAAGUAUUUGUCCAUUAACCAGGAUAACCCUGUUUUUCCCCCUUUUUUGCCCCUAAUUCCUAAACGGUUUGAGCCAUAACCCCCCCAAGGCAAAUCCUAACAAUCCCUUUGUGGUAUGGAAACUUGUAGUAUAAUUUCAGAGAGAUCCAUACAUCGUUCCACAGUUAUUGUCUGGAAACUAGAAAAUGCUUAUUUUUGGCCCCUUUUUGGCCCCUUAUUCCUUAACUGUUGGUACCAUAACCCCCAAAAUCAAUCCCAACCUUCCUUUUGUAGUAUUGAACCUUAUGGUAAAAUUUCAUAAAGAUCCAUUCACUUAAACUAAAGUUAGAGUGCAAAAACCAAUGUGUCUUCAGAAGACGACGACGCCGGACGACAACGACAAUGACGACGACGUCUUACCUAUAUAGGACCACAAAAUAUAAACAACUUAAAAUGGAAAAUUUAAAAGAAAAAAACCUAGAGGCUCUGAAGAGCCUGUGUUGCUCACCUGACUCUACUUUGGUUUUAGAAAUCAUAUAAAGAUAGAUAAUAAAAUGCUCCGCUGGGGCGCAGCUUGAUACGACCGCAGAGGUUGAACCCUGAACAGUUGGGGCAAGUAUGGACACAACAUUCAAGCUUGACACAGCACUGAAUUUGGAUUGUAAUUAAAUAUUUGACACACCAUAGGUUUCUGACACAGAAUGAAAGAACUUAAAAAAUUUUAAUUUACCUAUUCAAACCAUAUCAUUAUUAUUUGCUUUUAUAUAUAAAUCAGAAAUCAGAAAUAACCAUUUUAAAAUGGAAAAUUUUAAAGAAAAAAAAGGAAAAAAAAAUCCCCCCCCCCAAAUUUUUUGAACCCCCUUAUGAUUCAUCACCCCCAAACUCAAUCCCAGCCUUCCCUUUGUGGUAUGGUACCUUGCAGUACAAUUUCAGAGAGAUCCAUACACUUGAACACAAGUUAUUGUCUGGAAACUAAAAAAAUGCUUGUUUUUUGGCCCCUUUUUAGCCCCAAAUUCCUAAACAUUUAGGGCAAUUACCCCCAAACUCAAACCCAGCUUUCCCUUUGUGAUAUGGAACCUUGCAGUACAAUUUCAUUAAGAUCCAUACACUUACACACAAGUUAUUGUCCUGAAACUAGAAAAAUGCUUGUUUUUUUGCCCUUUAAUGGCCCCCAAUUCCUAAAAUUUUGAGGGAAUUACCCCCAAAAUCAAUCCCAGCCUUCCCUUUGUGGUAUGGUACCUUGCAGUACAAUUUCAGAGAGAUCCAUAAACUUGAACAUAAGUUAUUGUCUGGAAACUAGAAAAAUGCUUAUUUUUUGCCCCUUUUUGGCCCCUUAUUCCUUAACGUUUUGGGCAAUUACCACCAAAAUCAAUCCCAGCAUUCUCUUUGUGAUAUGGAACCUUGUGAUACAAUGUCAGAGAGAUCCAUACACACAAGUUAUUGUCAUGAAACUACAAAAAUGCUUGUUUUUUGCCCCCCUUUUUGGCCCCUAAUUCCUAAAAUUUGGAGGCAAUUACACACAAGUUAUGUCUGGAAGUUACAAAAAUGCUUAUUAAGGCCCCUAAUUCCUUAACUGUUGGUACCAUAACCCCCAAAAUCAAUCCCCACCUUCCUUUUGUGGUAUUGAACCUUAUGGUAAAAUUUCAUUGAGAUCCAUUCACUUAAACUAAAGUUAGAGUGCGAAAACUAAUGUGUCUUCGGACGACUUCAUACCAUUAUACGACCACAAAAUUUUUUUUGCGGCUGUAUAAAAAUCAUAACAGAUACCCAAAUAAUGAUUGAGGCCAAAUUUGGUUUAAUAUUGGUCCGCGUUAUUUAAUAAUAUUUCUUGGUGGCCAUCUUGAACAGUAAAUCGGCAACAAAGAAGCCUAUAGGGUCCUAUGUUAAACUAAGUCCCCCCUGGAGGCCAUCUUGGAUGAUGGAUCGGCUGCAAUGUAACAACACUUGGUCAGCACUUCAUAAGGAACAUUCAUGCCAUGUUUGGUUUCAUUCCAAUCAGUGGUUCUCUAAAAGAAGACAUUUGUAUGUAUUUCCCAUAGGGUCCUAUGUUAAAUUAAGUCCCCCCUGGCGGCCAUCUUGGAUGAUGGAUCGGCUGCAAUGUAACAACACUUGGUCAGCACCUCAUAAGGAACAUUCAUGCCAUGUUUGGUUUCAUUCCAUUCAGUGGUUCUCUAAAAGAAGACAUUUGUAUGUAAUUCCCAAAGGGUCCUAUGUUAAACUAAGUUCCCCCCCCUUGGCGGCCAUCUUGGAUGAUGGACCGACUGUCAAGUAACAACACUAGGUCAGCACCUCAUAAGGAACAUUCAUGCCAUGUCUGGUUCUAUUCCAUUCACUGGUUCUCUAAAAGAAGACAUUUGUAUGUAUUUCCCAUAGGGUCCUAUGUUAAACUAAGUCCCCCGCUGGCGGCCAUCUUGUAUGAUGGACCAACUGCAAAGUAACAACACUUGGUCAGCACCUCAUAAGGAACACUCAUGCCAUGUUUGGUUCCAUUCCAUUCAGUGGUUCUCUAAAAGAAGACAUUUGUAUGUAUUUCCGAUAGGGUCCUAUGUUAAACUAAGUCCCCUGCUGGCGGCCAUCUUGGAUGAUGGAUUGGCUACAAAGUAAUAACACUUGGUCAGCACCUCAUAAGGAACAUUCAUGCCAUGUUUGGUUUUAUUCCAUUCAGUGGUUCUCUAGAAGAAGUUCAAAAUGUAAAAAGUUAACAACGAUGACGGACGACGACAAUGACGACGGACGCCAAGUGAUGAGAAAAGCUCACUUGGUCCUUUGGGCCAGGUGAGCUAAAAAGAUAAAAAAGGAAAAAAAAAUCCCCCCCAAAUUUUUUGAACCCCCUUAUGAUUCAUCACCCCCAAACUCAAUCACAGCCUUCCCUUUGUGGUAUGGUACCCUGUGGUACAAUUUCAGAGCGAUCCAUACACUUGAACACAAGUUAUUGUCUGGAAACUGUAAAAAUGCUUGUUUUUUGGCCCAUUUUUGGCCCCUUAUUCCUAAACGUUUAGGGCAAUUACCCACAAACUCAAACCAAGCUUUCCCUUUGUGAUAUGGAACCUUGUAGUACAAUUUCAUAAAGAUUCAUACACUUACACACAAGUUAUUGUCCUGAAACUAGAAAAAGGGUUGUUUUUUGCCCCUUUUUGGCACCUAAUCCCUAAUAUUUUGAGGCAAUUACCCCCAAAAUCAAUCCCAGCCUUCCCUUUGUGGUAUGGUACCUUGCAGUACAAUUUCAGAGAGGUUCCAUACACUUGAACACAAGCUUUUGUCAUGAAACUAGAAAAAUGCUUGUUUUUGCCCCUUUUUUGGCCCCUAAUUCCUAAACGUUUUGAGGCAAUUACCCCCAAAAUCAAUCCCAGCAUUCCCUUUGUGAUAUGGAACCUUGUGGUACAAUGUCAGAGAGAUCCAUACACUAACACACAAGUUACAAAAAUGCUUAUUUUUGGCCCCUAAUUCCUUAACUGUUGGUACCAUAACCCCCAAAAUCAAUCCCAACCUUCCUUUUGUGGUAUUGAACCUUAUGGUAAAAUUUCAUAGAGAUCCAUUCAGUUAAACUAAAGUUAUUGUGCGAAAACCAAUGUGUCUUCGGACGACGACAACGCCGACAACGCCAACGUCAUACCAAUAUACUUUUGCAGUCGUAUAAAAAUGAGUUAAUUCCCUUUGAACAGAAAUCUAGUAAUUAAUAAGUAUUUCAUCAAAAAUUUAAUUCUAGGGAAAGGGCUGUAACUGAAUAAGGAGAAAAGCUAAAAUCGUGAAAAUAGAACUUGACAUGAUAAAACAAUACAUCAAAUAUCAAAUCAAAAUCUUUAAGAAGAUAAAAAGUCUGGAAAACUGAUUUGCCGGACUGUCGGAUGGACAGACGGACUGAUGGAUGGACAGACGGACAGAACGGACAGAUUGCAAACCUAAAGUCCCCUUCAACUUCGUCGGUAGGGGACUAACAACCAGUGAUGACUAAGUUCUCUAAAAUUAAAUAUGAUUUAACACUCAAACAUUGUUAAAAUCAGCAUAUGAAAGAACCCAAGAAUUCAAUUUUUGAUUAAACAAAAGUUUAAUUUAGGACACUUUGUACCUUGAUGUGUGGUAUUAUCUAACUAAUAAUGAAAAUAAAUACAGGUUUAGAUUCAGCAUUUCAAAGAACCCUAUAUAUAUUCAAUUUAUGUUGAAAUCAAACACAGUUUAAUUUUGGACCCUGAUUUGGACCAACUUGAAAACUUGGCCCAAAAUCAGAAAUCUAAAUAUAUGUUUAUUAAUAGACAAUAUAAGCUAAGUUUUGAAAGGAGUUCACCUAAUCAAAAUAAAAUGCUCCGCUGGGGCGCAGCUUGAUACGAGCACAGAGGUCGAACCCUGAACAGUUGGGGCAAGUAUGGACAAAACAUUCAAGCUUGAUACAGCACUGAAUUUGGAUUGUAAUUAAAUAUUUGACACAGCAUAGGUUUCUGACACAGAAUGAAUGUGGUCUAAGAACUUAAAAAUUUUUAAUUUACCUAUUCAAACCAUAUCAUUAUUAUUUGCUUUUAUAUAUAAAUCAGAAAUAACCAAUUUAAAAUGGAAAAUUUUAAAGAAGAAAAAGGAAAAAAAAAUCCCCCCCCCAAAACUUUUUUGAACCCCCUUAUGAUUCAUCACCCCCAAACUCAAUCCCAGCCUUCCCUUUGUGGUAUGGUACCUUGCAGUACAAUUUCAGAGAGAUCCAUACACUUGAACACAAGUUAUUGUCUGGAAACUAGAAAAAUGCUUGUUUUUUGGCCCCUUUUUGGCCCCAAAUACCUAAACAUUUAGGGCAAUUACCCCCAAACUCAAACCCAGCUUUCCCUUUGUGAUAUGGAACCUUGUAGUACAAUUUCAUAAAGAUCAAUACACUUACACACAAGUAAUUGUCCUGAAACUAGAAAAAUGCUUGUUUUUUUGCCCCUUUUUUGCCCCUAAUUCCUAAAAUUUUGAGACAAUUACCCCCAUAAUCAAUACCAGCCUUCCCUUUGUGGUAUGGUACCUUGCAGUACAAUUUCAGAGAGAUCCAUACACUUGAACACAAGUUAUUGUCUGGAAACUAGAAAAAUGCUUAUUUUUGGCCCCUUUUUGGCCCUUAAUCCUAAACGUUUUGGGCAAUUACCCCCAAACUCAAUUCCAGCUUUCCCUUUGUGAUAUGGAACCUUGUGGUACAAUGUCAGAGAGAUCCAUAUGCUUACACACAAUUUAUUGUCAUGAAACUAGAAAAAUGCUUGUUUUUUUCCCCUUUUUGGCCACUAUUUCCUAAAAUUUGGAGGCAAUUACCCCCAAUUAAAUCAAUCCCAGCAUUCCCUUUGUGAUAUGGAACUUUGUGGUACACUGUCAGAGAGAUCCAUACACUAACACACAAGUUAUGUCUGGAAGUUACAAAAAUGCUUAUUUUUGGCCCCUUUUUGGCCCCCAAUUCCUUAACUGUUGGUACCAUAACCCCCAAAAUCAAUCCCCACCUUCCUUUUGUGGUAUUGAACCUUAUGGUAAAAAUUUCAUAGAGAUCCAUUCACUUAAACUAAAGUUAAGAGUGCGAAAACCAAUGUGUCUUCGGACAACAACGACGGACAACGACAAAGACGACGCCAACUUCAUACCAAUAUACGACCGCAAAAUUUUGCGGUCGUAUAAAAAUAUAUAUAGCAUUCAGAAAAUUAGUUUUUACAGAAAAACAAACAAUUUACAAUUAACCAAAGAAAAGAAGAAAAAAAUUAAAACUUUUAUUUAUCAUUAAUACAAUGUCUUUUAAAAAUCUAUAAAACUUAUCUGUAAUUAUCUUCAAAAUGUCUAAUAAUGAACAGUAAAUUUCUAACUAUAUUUACUACUAUAUAGCUUUUAAUCAUCAACACUUAGAAAACAGAAAAUUUUCAAAUAAAUCUGUCACUCAAGCUAAGAUAAGACAUUAACCAUUAACCAUAUGUUUAGUAAACUGAUAACAGGACAUAUAAACAGGUGAAAAUUAUCUAUAAAGGCUUAGUGUAAUCAAACUUUAUGUAUAUAAUUAACAAUUUCUGUUCAAAGGAAAAUAACUCAACCACAAAAAAAUACCACUUAUGGCAGAUUCCAAAUAAGAAAGUUGAAAAAUUCCCAAAAUUAUAUUUAACAAAAUCAACACCAAUAAGGUUCUGUUUUGGAAUACAUGUUAUACUUAUAUAAGUAAACACUUUUUGACAAAAAAUAGAUCUAUUCACAUUAUAUUUUUUAAAUAAAGGACACCUUAAAAAAAUGUUGCUAUCAUAACAAAAUUGACAGACAUUUUGACGGAAAAUUCUUAUGUUAGCAACACAAGCAAUCCUGAUAUCUUCAGUAUUUUCAAGGUUUGGAUGUAUAUCUUGCUUAAGUAUGAAAGGCAAAUUGGAAUAAAAUAUUUCUUAACAUCUGCACCAAUAAAAAAGGAGUUGUAAUAACUUUAAAAAAUAAAAUGCUCCGCAGGGCGCAGCUUGAUACGACCGCAGAGGUCAAACCCUGAACAGUUGGGGCAAGUAUGGACACAACAUUCAAGCUUGAUACAGCACUUAAUUUGGAUUGUGAUUAUAUAUUUGACACAGCAUAGGUUUCUGACACAGAAUGAAUGUGGUCUAAGAACUUAAAAAUUUUAAAUUGGACAUUCACCUAUUAUGGUCCAAUAUCCAAAAUCUAAAUACAUGGUUAGAUUCAGCAUAUCAAAGAACCCCAAGAAUUCAAUUUUUGAUGAAAUCAAACAAAGUUUAAUUUUGGACCCUUUUGACCUCAAUGUGGACAAAGUUAUUAAUGGGGCCCAAAAAUCAAAAAUCUAAAUACAUGGUUAGAUUCAGUAUAUCAAAGAACCCCAUAUAUUCAAUUUUUGUUGAAAUCAAACAAAGUUUAAUUUUGGACCCCGAUUUGGACCAAUUUGAAAACUGGGCCCAUAAUCAAAAAUCUAAAAACAUGUUUAGAUUCAGCAUAUCAAAGAACCCUAAAAAUUCAAUUUUUGUUAAAAUCAAACUAAGUUCAAUUUUGGACCAUUUGGACCUUAAUGUAGACCAAUUUGAAAACGGAACCAAAAAUUAAGAAUCUAAAUACACGGUUAGAUUCCGCAUAUCAAAGAACCUCAAUAAUUCAAUUUUUGAUGAAAUCAAACAAAGUUAAAUUUUGGACCCUUUGGACCUCAAUGUGGACCAAUUUAAAAACAGGGCCCAAAAUCCAAAAACUUAAUACACGGUUACGGGUAGAUUCAGCAUAUUAAAGAACCCCAAGAAUUCAAGAAUAAAAACCCCAUUGAAAUUGAUCAAGAAAUAAGCAAUUUAUAUGAAGUAUCUUCUUUUGCACAAUACUGUGCAAUUGAAUAUUUCUUGCUAUUGCGCAAUACUGUACAAUUGACAAUUUCUUGCUAUUGCGCAAUAUUGUGCUAUUGGAUAUUUCUUGCUAUUGCGCAAUACUGUGCAAUUGAAGAUUUCUUGCUAUUGCGCAAUACUGUGCAAUUGAAGAUUUCUUGCUAUUGUGCAGUACUGUGCAAUUGAAAAUUUCUUGCUAUUGCACAAUACUUAUUAUAUAAUAAUUUACACAUCCUGUUUGGUGUGUAUCUCCUACCAUAUCUUUAUUAUUUGCUUUUAAAUAUAAAUCAGAAAUAACCAACUUAAAAUGGA